AUGAACGCUAGCGGCAGGCUUAAUACAUGCAAGUCGAGGGGCAGCAUGAGUAGCAAUACUUGAUGGCGACCGGCAAACGGGUGCGGAACACGUACGCAACCUUCCUUUAAGUGGAGAAUAGCUCCCGGAAACGGGAAUUAAUACUCCGUAACAUUAUGAGGUGGCAUCAUCUCAUAAUUAUAGAUUUAUCGCUUAAAGAUGGGCGUGCGCCUGAUUAGGUAGUUGGCGGGGGUAACGGCCCACCAAGCCUUCGAUCAGUAACUGGUGUGAGAGCACGACCAGUCACACGGGCACUGAGACACGGGCCCGACUCCUACGGGAGGCAGCAGUAAGGAAUAUUGGUCAAUGGACGCAAGUCUGAACCAGCCAUGCCGCGUGGAGGAUGAAGGUCCUCUGGAUUGUAAACUUCUUUUAUUUGGGACGAAAAAAGAUCAUUCCUGAUCACUUGACGGUACCAGAUGAAUAAGCACCGGCUAACUCCGUGCCAGCAGCCGCGGUAAUACGGAGGGUGCAAGCGUUAUCCGGAUUUACUGGGUUUAAAGGGUGCGCAGGCGGAUAUGUAAGUCAGUGGUGAAAUCUUCCCGCUUAACGGGAAAACUGCCGUUGAUACUAUAUAUCUUGAAUGCUGUGGAGGUAAGCAGAAUAUGUCAUGUAGCGGUGAAAUGCUUAGAUAUGACAUAGAAUACCUAUUGCGAAGGCAGCUUACUACGCAGAUAUUGACGCUCAUGCACGAAAGCGUGGGGAUCAAACAGGAUUAGAUACCCUGGUAAUCCACGCCCUAAACGAUGAUUACUCGACAUACGCGAUAUACAGUGUGUGUCUGAGCGAAAGCAUUAAGUAAUCCACCUGGGAAGUACGAUCGCAAGAUUGAAACUCAAAGGAAUUGACGGGGGCCCGCACAAGCGGUGGAGCAUGUGGUUCAAUUCGACGCAACGCGAAGAACCUUACCGGGGUUUGAACUGUAUGGGACCGCUGUAGAGAUACAGUUUCCCUUCGGGGCCCAUAUAGAGGUGCUGCAUGGCUGUCGUCAGCUCAUGUCGUGAGAUGUUGAGUUAAGUCCCGCAACGAGCGCAACCCUUGCCUCCUGUUGCCAUCAGGUAAAGCUGGGCACUCUGGAGUGACUGCCGGUGAUAAACCGGAGGAAGGUGGGGAUGACGUCAAGUCCUCAUGGCCUUUAUGCCCCGGGCUACACACGUGCUACAAUGGUUGGUACAAAGGGUCGCAAAACCGUGAGGUGGAGCUAAUCCCAAAAAACCAAUCCCAGUUCGGAUUGCAGUCUGCAACUCGACUGCAUGAAGCUGGAAUCGCUAGUAAUCGCGGAUCAGCAUGCCGCGGUGAAUACGUUCCCGGGCCUUGUACACACCGUCCCGUCAAACCAUGAAAGUCGCCAAUACCUGACGUGUCUGCAUAGCCAGGCCCUAAGGUAGGGGAGAUGAUUGGGGUU
rnacentral:rRNA from 1 species